UCAUAACAAAAGAUUUUCCCGAUCACGACAUUCGUUCGAUCCUGCAAGUGUGACAAGGACAACAUCAUCCGCUGGUCUACCUGUUGUUGUUGUCCCGAAAAGGAAAAGCAGGAUAAUCGUACGCGCAACGCGAUUCGCGACCCUUGUCUGUCAGUUCGCAGUCAGUCGUUCGUUCCGUCAGUCAGUCAUCUCCGUUCGCUGCUCGCGGAAGUCGCGAAAAUUAAAGAGCAGCGCGUUCUUCUGCUAUUACCUAGAGUGUUCUUGGUUGAAGGAAUUUUAUUUUGAUUUUGGUGCGUUUCGUCCGUGUGCUGCAAAUUAUCUGUCCGAAGGUGUUUUCCCGGAGAUCGAGAAUCGAGACCGUGUUACGGAAUAAGUCGGUCUUUGCUUAGCGUUGAGUGAUUUUUUUUGUGCUUCUUUAUUCUCUGCGCGAGUGCGUUUUCGCAAAAUUCGAGACGAGACGUCCUUCACGCGAGCGCCGAAUGUGUGUGGGGGUUUCUCUUCGCCCCGUUGCCCAAUUAGAGUGGCCCAGCAGUGUCGGAAGAUCGAAUUGCGAUAGGUGUAGUUUUUUUGGCCUUCUAUCUCUCGAUACUGUGACGCAGGAAAAUCGGAGAUAAGUACCUACUGCGAGUGAUUGAUAAUAUCGGCCUUUGUAUCUGUAGGUACAACAUUCUGCGGGAAUUGGUGAGUGUUUAUUGCAUUUUUCUGCUAAGCAGUGAAUUUGAGAAGCAAGAAAUAAGCCAUCAUUAUCUCUCUUCCGAAGAGGAAACCGAAAAAAAGUGACACAAAAAGUUGCGAUUGUGUGCGACGGCGCUGGUUGCUUUGCUCUUGGAGGUUUUUUAGAGCUGCUUUUGCGCGAGACAAGAGUCGUGUGUCAGUGUCGUGCAAUAUUUUUAUAUUCAACACAAGCAAGCCGAAGAAAAACAAUAUCCAGUGCUGGCAGUUUGGCGGCAUAUUUGAAGCAGCUACUGUUGGGCUGGAGACAACAUUUUCCUUUAGAGAUUGGUGAAGGCUUUCUCGAUCACUCCAAUAUUAAUCGUCUAGCACCGAAAGACCUGAACGAGUGCGUCCGCUCGUUCAUCAACCUCCACGCACGGUGCUGAGCCGGACGAGGAUGGCAGAUUAUGGCGACUAAUCCUCCCAAGAAGCCGCCAGAAAAUGACACCUACUAUACCACCGGAUUUCCGGAUUCCAGCUGCGCCGGUUCUCCGACCAGCCUGCUGAAGAAACGCCGCUCGACCUGUUCCUGCUCGAACAUUGCUAUUAUGCAACUGUUUCACGAGAUGAAGCAAAAGUUUCCUAAAGUGCCGGACCAUGUCGUGUCGGAUUUGGUGACGGCAAACUGCCACAACCGACCGGCAUGUAUCGACAGCUUGGAGAAAGCUGUGGCGGGUACCCCAGUAACUGCCCAGGCUUAUCCGUCGCAAUCCAUUCACAGCACCAGUUUGAAGCGGCGCAUCAACGAACGGAAGAUGAGCAAACUGGAAAGUAGUCUGAGUGGCGGCAGCAGUGGGAGCAGUAGCCGGGAGAGCAGCGUUGAUAAGUCGUCCAAAUGUGUGGGGGAUGCAGCCGGUAGUAGCUAUAGCAUCAACAAUAAUAGCCGAAUACCGAACAGCACAACGACUAUCGGAGGCAGUUCUGGUGAUCUACCACGUGACAGUGGUAGUGUAAAUAAUGUUGCUGAUAACCACCCGAUGAUGACGGUGUAUGAUAGCAACAACAAUCGUGUUGCGCCGAGUCGACCCACUACAUUGCCAUUCAGUGGGCCUCGGCCAACGCGAGUAGCACCAUUACCGCCCAUAAGUGCUUCCCAGACGACGAGUUCGGACAUUGGUGAAACUAUUAACGUACAGCUGAACGUGACUGUUUCGCCGGUAGCCAGUAGAAGCCCCCUAGGACAGAGGCAUACAUCCACUUUACAGCUACAACCGGAACCACCCUACUCUCGUGAGUUAGCUCAAGCUUCCAGUAGAUUUAAUACACCGGGUCCUCUGCCACCGGGAGCCAACAGUCGAAGUUCGACGUCAGUUAACCUUACGUUGCGACAGCCCAGCGAGAGUCCACAGUCACCUAUCCACAUUCACGCUAGUCCCCUCAAGUAUACGGCCAAGGGCUUCAACGCCCAGUCCGGCAUCCAGAGUAAGCUGGAAAUUACGUUUCAGGACGGAUUCGGGUCGAUCAGUGCUAUGCGAACACAUGUUCCUGGCUUCGAUCCACCCAUCGCCAGCGGUAGUAAUAGUAGUAGUAGCCACAGUACCAGUAUACCCCAUCGUGGGCAGUUGCAGGAGAACCUAUACCGAGAUCAACAACAGCAGCAGCAGAUGGUGGCGGGAGUGACAGUGAACGCCGGAGCCCAGGUGGCAUCGGCACACAACGAGAGCGAUGGACUUACCAAAGAGCAGCUUCAUCAGAACUACCUGACAGAGGUGGCCAUUACACAUCAACUAGACCAGAAAAACCGACUGAGUAUAGAGGUAGAACGAUAUCGACAGCAGUUGAGAUCGAUAAGACGCGAAAUAGAUGUACUUCAACGGCCUCUUCCGCCCCAAAUUGCCGAAGAUCUGCACCGAGAGGUUCAACUCCUUCGCCAAGAAGCUGAUCUAAUGCAGAAAGAGGUCGAUUCGGCUGACCUGACGACGGGGAGCUCCUCUAUUUCGGACGGCCUGCAUGCGCUCAGUAUCGAAGGAUCUCCAAUCCUACCUGCCGGUUCGAUUGCAAAUCGUCCGCCACGUCCUCCGCGGCCACCACCUCCGAGAAUUCCACUCAGUCUACAGCAUCAGCCACCCUCUGCUCCGAUAGCAAAUGCCUCUUCGUAUGCAAUCGAUGGCCGAUCGCUGUCGGCUCCUGCUGGCACUGCAAGCUACCCAGUUAGUGGCAGCGGCGGAGACCUUAGCACCGGAGAGCAAUGGACUUGCAGCCUUUGUACAUUCCAGAACCACGAACUCAUGACCACAUGUGAAGUGUGUUCGUUACCCAAAGUGUCCGGUAGAAUAUCGUCCCAGAAUUCCGUUCCAGCUGCUUCAUCACACCCAUCAUCGCUACCAGCCACACCUCUAUCUUCCACUCAGCCUCCAUCAUCGUCGCGGCCUACCGCAGUAACAGCCAUGGCAUCCGCUUCGGCACCGCUAGUGGCAGCCUCGGCACCGGUUGCUGCCACCGUUCUGCUACAGUCUUCCUCCGCUUCCUCUUCGGCUGCUUCGACAGUGGCUUCCACACCGAUAUCGCAACCACCGAUUCAGAAUGCUCCUUAUCAAAAGUCGUCCAUCGAGUGCUGAUAGAUGUGCCAAGCGGGCAGCGGGGGGGAGCGAAGCGUAGGAAAACUUACCCUAACCCACAUUGUGCUGUGCUGUUGUUCUUUCGGCGCUGCAAGAUUACCGGACGGAAGAAUGUGUGACGAGUGUUGUGAUUCCUGGAACAAAACCCAUUUGCCAUAAACUAAUCGUUCUCUUCAGAACAAGCUUUGCUUGCUUUGAAAUUGCAGAAUCUAAUGUGCUCGACAUAAGACUCGAGAGAACAGUGAACAGACGCGCCCUGUUUUGGGGAGCACGCUCCUUGCCUGAAUGGAUGUUAGUGAAGCUAAGUGUAGGACAGCAGUUUGUAUUGCUCUUAAUUAGUCUUGCAAGACUUUUGACUAACUAUUCAGGUCGUAUACUAAGAUAUGUAACCAUAUUUUAACACUGUUUGAGAGUGACUAAGUGUGGACGAAACUGUACAGUAGUGCAUGGAUUUUAAACGUAACACAAAUGUGAUAGGUCGAAAGCUGUUGGAUAUGUCUAACGAUUCGGGGAAUGUGUACCUCAAAAUGGAACUUAUGUAUUAGAAAUCAUUAGUUUUUUUUGUACUAGAAACUAUAUGUGAAUAUUUACAAAGAAUAAGGUGGCGCAAGCUGAAUAAUUUGAUCAGAUUCUAAAGUGACAUAAUGUAGUAACCUCAGGGCAGGACAUCCACAUCUAUCUAUCGCCUGGCCAGAAUAAAAUUGUUCACUCUUGGAUCGUGUCCUAGUGCCGUGGCUUUCUUUAAAAAAAAAACCAUCCCAAACAGUGAUGUAGUAGAAGAGGGAAGCAGCACAAAUAGCCAUACUGAGAAUUGAUUUGCGCAGGAAGUUCCCAUUUCAAGUUCUGCAUUACAUUUACAGUUACCGCAGCACUUUCGCAGUUAUACAGCAGUUAGUUACCUACUCCAAAAGUCCGAAUGAAAUAGAUCGACUGUGCAAAAGAAAAGUGUUAGAAAAUCAAUUUAUUUUGUAUUUAUUUAAAAUGGUUAAACUCUGUUAAACUGCAUUAUUCAACCGAUUAAAGCUUGGAGUAGGAUCAGUUGAUAUCCCAGUUAACACACAAAAAGCAAAAAAAAUUUCACUUUGCGAUAGUGAUAAGAGAAGAUAUAAGCUGAAAGGGUACUUCAUAUCAAUCAGUGUCAAUAUAAUGAGGAUCAUUAUAUGAUAUACUGCCCAUACUCGCAUAACAGUCCCAUUUAUAUAGGAAAUCCAAUAAUAUGGGACUGUUAUGCGAGUACGGGCAGUAUACCCUCAUCUCAAAAGUUGGUCUUCUCUUACACCGUAUAGGAUCCUGAUUCUGAGGGCAAGUCAUCAUGGUCGUUUUGCAGAUCAAAGAUUUUUUUUGUGCCUUCCAACUGCUAUGUAGAUUUUAGGAAACGAUUUACGCAUUGCGAAUGUUCCUAUGAGUUUUAGUAAGGAAAAAUGUGUCUGGUGAAACAAUGCCUUUGGGAUUCACUUUUUAUUUAUCCGAAAAUCAUUUCUUUCGAUUUCCUUGCAGUAUUUGUGAGAAUUUCUUUGUGAAACAUGCAAUCCAACUCGUAUUUCAGCGUCAACCGAAGGCAUUUGCGUUACCUGGGCUAUUUCUUCCCCACCGAUUCUCGUAUGAAUUUCACGUGCGUUUCGCAAAAUCGAUCGGGAAAAACUUUUAGUUGUUCACGAAAUAAAAAUUACCUUUGAUCUUGUUGGAUUACUUUCCAAUUGACGGGUGACUAAGCUUACUGAGCAUGCUUCGGAACACAACUGUAGACAAAUUUGCUUCAAAUGGAGUUUUAGUUCAUUUUGUUUUUCUUUUCUGUUAAAAAGUUUCUGUUAAACCUAUGGUGAAAUAAAAUAAAUCAAUGUACUAUCAGAAAGCUUCCUUCAAA